rnacentral:rRNA from 1 species
ACUGCCUGCCCAGUGACAACCGUUNAACGGCCGCGGUAUCCUGACCGUGCANAGGUAGCAUAAUCACUUGUUCUCUAAAUAAGGACUUGUAUGAAUGGCCACACGAGGGUUUUACUGUCUCUUACUUCCAAUCAGUGAAAUUGACCUUCCCGUGAAGAGGCGGGAAUAUAAUAAUAAGACGAGAAGACCCUAUGGAGCUUUAACUACUUAGCCCAAAGAAACAAAAUUUACUUCCAAGGAAACAACAACAUUCUUUAUGGGUUAACAGCUUUGGUUGGGGUGACCUCGGAGAAUAAAAAAACNUCCGAGCGAUUUUAAAGACCAGACCCACAAGUCAAAUCACAUAAUCGCUUAUUGAUCCAAAAAAUUGAUCAACGGAACAAGUUACCCUAGGGAUAACAGCGCAAUCCUAUUCAAGAGUCCAUAUCGACAAUAGGGUUUACGACCUCGAUGUUGGAUCAGGACAUCCUGAUGGUGCAACCGAUAUCAAAGGUU